rnacentral:rRNA from 1 species
GACGAACGCUGGCGGCGUGCCUAAUACAUGCAAGUCGAACGCAGUGGGGACGGGUGAGUAACACGUGGGUAACCUCCCAUCAGAGGGGAUAACCAUUGGAAACAGGUGCUAAACCGAUACUGAUGGAUGGACCCGCGGUGCAUUAGCUAGUUGGGGAGGUAACGGCUCACCAAGGCCACGAGGCAUAGCCGGCCUGAGAGGAUGAUCAGCCACACGGGGACUGAGACACGGCCCAGACUCCUACGGGAGGCAGCAGUGGGGAAUCUUGGGCAAUGGGCGAAAGUCUGACCGAGCCAUGCCGCGUGAGUGAAGAAGGUUUUCGGAUCGUAAAGCUCUGUUGUUAGAGAAGCGGUAUCUAACCAGAAAGCCACGGCUAACUACGUGCCAGCAGCCGCGGUAAUUC